rnacentral:rRNA from 1 species
UAGAGAUAGUGGCGCACGGGUGCGUAACGCGUAACCAACCUACCCGAAUCUGGGGGAUAGCCCGCCGAAAGGCGGAUUAAUACCGCAUAAAACUGCAGGACGGCAUCGUUUAACAGUUAAAGAUUUAUUGGAUUCGGAUGGGGUUGCGUGCCAUUAGCUAGUUGGAGGGGUAACGGCCCACCAAGGCGACGAUGGCUAGGGGAGUUGAGAGGCUGGUCCCCCACACGGGCACUGAGAUACGGGCCCGACUCCUACGGGAGGCAGCAGUAGGGAAUAUUGGGCAAUGGUCGAGAGACUGACCCAGCCAUGCCGCGUGCAGGAUGAAGGCCUUCUGAGUCGUAAACUGCUUUUAUCAGGGAAGAAAAACAGGGGUGCGCCCUUGACUGACGGUACCUGAUGAAUAAGCACCGGCUAACUCCGUGCCAGCAGCCGCGGUAAUACGGAGGGUGCAAGCGUUGUCCGGAUUUAUUGGGUUUAAAGGGUGCGUAGGCGGCUGAUUAAGUCCGGGGUGAAAGCCCGUUGCUCAACAACGGAACUGCCCUGGAAACUGGUUAGCUUGAGUACAGACGAGGGUGGCGGAAUGGAUACUGUAGCGGUGAAAUGCAUAGAUAGUAUCCAGAACCCCGAUUGCGAAGGCAGCUGCCUAGACUGUAACUGACGCUGAGGCACGAAAGCGUG